rnacentral:rRNA from 1 species
AGAGUUUGAUCCUGGCUCAGAGCGAACGUUGGCGGCGUGCCUAACACAUGCAAGUCGAACGCGAAAAGACUUCGGUCUGAGUAGCGUGGCGCACGGGUGAGUAACACGUGAGUAAUCUACCUUGGAGCCCGGGAUAACAUCACGAAAGAGAUGCCAAUACCGGAUAAGACCACGACCUCUUCGGGGGAAGUGGGAAAAGGCGGGGACCCGAGAAGGCCUGUCACUUUGGGAUGAGCUCGCGGCCUAUCAGCUAGUUGGUGAGGUAAUGGCUCACAAAGGCGAAGACGGGUAGCUGGUCUGAGAGGAUGAUCAGUCACACUGGAACUGAGACACGGUCCAGACUCCUACGGGAGGCAGCAGUGGGGAAUUUUGCGCAAUGGGCGAAAGCCUGACGCAGCGACGCCGCGUGUGCGAUGAAGGCCUUUGGGUCGUAAAGCACUGUCGAGAGGGACGAAAACACUGCAUCUAAUACGUGUAGUGCUUGACGGUACCUCUAAAGGAAGCACCGGCUAACUCUGUGCCAGCAGCCGCGGUAAGACAGAGGGUGCAAACGUUGCUCGGAAUUAUUGGGCGUAAAGCGCGUGUAGGCGGUCCAUUAUGUCGGCUGUG